rnacentral:lncRNA from 1 species
UUUUUUUUUUUUUUUUUCCUUUUGAUUAGCUUCUGCAUCCAGCCCACUGAUAACAAGUCCAUCAUUUAAUUAAGUAACAUUCAUCAACGGUGUCAGAACACUUGAAGGAUGGGCUGGCACAGCGAGAGUUUGAUGAAGUGAGCAGGACUCCCUGGGGCCCGGAAGCUGAGCCAGGCCAGGGUUGGGCUGAGGGGGCGGCUGUGCAGAGCUUCCUCCUGUUGCCAAAGCAAGAAGGAGCCACUGACGGCUGUGCCCAGGCCGGCCAUGGGGCUGCUGCCCAUCUGGGCUCCAAGGCCCUGACUCUCUAGCUUGCUUCUGUGAUGACCUGAAAGCUUGGGGAUUCGAGUUCCAACCCUAGAGACCCGAUCCAUUCGACCCGAGGUGGGCCCAGGGAUCUGAUUUUGAGCAAGCAGCCCACCUGUUGGGCGUUGUCGUGUGUCCUCCAAAAAGACCUAUUAAGCCUUAACCCAGGUACCUGUGAAGGGGACCUUACAGAUGGACGCCAGUGACCCAUGCUGGAUUGGGAAUAAGAGCAGAGCACACACACACACACACACACACACACACGUGCACGCCACGCCCCCCCACUCCCUGGACGUGGUCCUUGGUGCAUGGCAGCCCCACGCGAGACCCCAGGCUGCCCGGCCACCCCGCCUUCCUGCCCCACGACGACCAGGGCUCUGCAGGUCCCCUACACGUCCCACCUCCCAAGCUCGAAACGCCCCCCAGCCCCCGCCCUCUGGUAGCUGGGCAGGCUCAGUGGGUGCAAGCUUUCCUCUGUGUCCGGGAAACCCACCUCCCUUCCCCCGGGGGCUGUGCCUACACCUGCCGCAUCUCAGGUGGCGGUGGGUCCCCACGGCCUUCUGGCACCGGCCUGGGAGGGCGAAGGCGGGCAACCUCUUGAUGUUUCUGGACCAUUUUCUCUCCUUCCUGAACGCCAGCCUUGAGCCUCAGUGUCUUCAGACACUGCCCCGCCCUGGUUACAAUCGCCUAGAAAUGCCGUCUGGCCCUGGAAGACUCCUGCACCUGGUUCCUGAGACCUAAGCUGCAGCUGUGCCAACGCCAGAUCCGUAACACACCGAGCAAGGCCAGGGAUCCAACCCACUUCCUCAUGGACACGAGUCAGGUUUUUAACCCACUUAAUCCCAGUUCCUGAGAGUCUCAAGACUACACUUGCCAUAAUUCUGGGGGAUUUCAAAAUACACAGAGGCAACCUUUCCAAAAUCUUGGCUCUUCAGCUCCCGAACAGCCAACCUCUUGCUCCCCGUGACAGGAGUCCAUUGUGAGGCUGCCCCUGAGGUGGCCAGUCCUCCAGCUGCUCAGGCCAAAGACCUGAGAGUCGUCUUCCGCAGCUCGGCUUCCCACCCAUCCAUCGGCAAACGCCCUUGGCCUGACCUGCAGAGUAUACCCCGACCACCUCUCCAGGCCAGCUGGCUAUCGCCAUCUCUCCUCUGGACACUGGCAACAGCCUCACGGCCCUCUGGGAUUCUACCUUCUCUUUUUUUGGCCACAAUGUGGGAUGCGGAAGUUCCCGGGCCAGGGAUCGAACCUACGCCACAGCAGUGACAACGCCAGAUCCUUAACCUGCUAGGCCACCGGGGAGCUCCAGAAUGUGCUUAUUUUUAUCAUUAUCUGUCCCUCCUGCCCCACUAGAAUGUGAGCUACGUGACAGCAGGGGUCGCUUUUGUUUCUGCACCUGUGUGUCCAUCUUGGUGCCUUGAGUAGCAUCUGGCACCAAACAGGCGCCCAACCAGUAACCGCCGAGAGAAUGAACGAAUGAACCGUUUGCCAGCCGGUUUCUGAGGAGUCUAGUUAGCAGGACGUGCUCAGCAAGAGUCUGAGCAGAAGUCAGGGGCCGGAGGAGGCUGGACCGGCCCUGCCCAGGUACUUCCGGGACCCAGAGGUCUGGGCUGGGCACUGUUCUCUUUUUAACGGAAACACUAUGAUGUGUUUGUUUUUAAAGCAAAUGAGGAAAUGAUAGUUCAGCCUGGGCCGCUUUCAAGCGGACCCGCCCUUAAGUGGAACAGAGGCGGCUGCAACCUGAGUGUGGGGAGCCCCAGCUUCAGACAAGACCAGGAGGAAGGGCAGCCCCCUCUUGGAGAGGAGGUGUUUGACCUUGACCUUAAGGGCGACACGCUUUCCUCCUGCUUCACAGGUCCAGAAGUGGGGGCAGGGGAGAGGGCAGGGGAAGGAGGGGAGCAGGCUGAGGGGAGGAGGUGGGAGCAGACGCACCACCUCCCCUGGCUCUAUUACCCCCACCCCGGGGGCAGGGGAGUCAGGGGAGCCAGACUUCCUCAGUCUCUCUCCGCCCUCCUCCUGGGUCGAGGCGCCCCACCGGAACACCCCCAACCUCCUGGGGUCACACCCAGCCAGAGGAGCUUCAGCUACAGAGCAGGCACUGGGGCAGAGUGAUUGGGGCACAGCUGCCCAGGAACAUGCCCUCUGCCCCCUGUAACUGGCGCUCCCCCACACACACUCACUCACAGCCCAAGAGGAAGGCAAGACCUUUUCUUGCCCAAGUCGCCACCAACCCGGAGGGGUGCCCGCCCACUGCCCCACCUGCUGAGGCCUCUGCUCUCCCAGGGCCCUGCAGGGGCGGAGGCUGGCUUCCAGAAUGGCCCAGCUGUCCAGCAGCAGACAUCACUUCCCAGCAACAACCCCCCCACCCCCGCCAAAGCCUCUACCAUGGGUGGGGGCUCUGACUCCAGGCGCCCCGGUUGGGGGCACUUCUCUGGCCAGCAUGCUGGGCGACACGCUUUCCUCCUGCUUCACGGAACUCCUGGUGGCUGGAAGAGAGGAGAGGGUGACGAGGAGCGCCCCGGCGGAGGAGGGCCCAGGACCCCACCAGCACCUCCACUCACAGCAGCCCCUUGGAGUCCAUAGCAUUUCAUAUCAUGAGCCCAUUUUGCAGAUGAGUAGAGAGGGCCCAGGAGUUCCCGUCGUGGCUUAGCGGUUAAUGAACCUGUCUAGGAUCCCUGAGGACGCACGUUCGACCCCUGGCCUCACUCAGUGCGUUAAGGAUCCGGCGCUACCGUGAGCUGUGGUGUAGGUCGCAGAUGCAGCUCAGGCUCCUGCGUGGCUGUGGCUGUGGUGUAGGCCGGCAGCUGUAGCUCCAAUUUGACCCCUCGCCUGGGAACCUCCAU